GUGGGGAAUAUUGCACAAUGGGGGAAACCCUGAUGCAGCAACGCCGCGUGAGUGAUGAAGGUCUUCGGAUUGUAAAACUCUGUCUUUGGGGACGAUAAUGACGGUACCCAAGGAGGAAGCCACGGCUAACUACGUGCCAGCAGCCGCGGUAAUACGUAGGUGGCAAGCGUUGUCCGGAUUUACUGGGCGUAAAGGGAGCGUAGGCGGAUUUUUAAGUGGGAUGUGAAAUACCCGGGCUUAACCUGGGUGCUGCAUUCCAAACUGGAAGUCUAGAGUACAGUAGGGGAAAGUGGAAUUCCUAGUGUAGCGGUGAAAUGCGUAGAGAUUAGGAAGAACACCGGUGGCGAAGGCGACUUUCUGGACUGUAACUGACGCUGAGGCUCGAAAGCGUGGGGAGCAAACAGGAUUAGAAACCCCUGUAGUCC
rnacentral:rRNA from 1 species